ACAAGGAGAUAAUGAUGACGACGACGAUGAUGAUGAUGGCUUGGCACGUAAUAUCUGUAAAAUAUGUCAAUCCCCAAUGUGAUCAUCAUCAUCAUCAUCAUCAUCAUCAUCACAU
rnacentral:miRNA from 1 species